CGAACGCUGGCGGCGUGCUAACACAUGCAAGUCGAACGCGAAAGGGACUUCGGUCCUGAGUAAAGUGGCGCACGGGUGAGUAACGCGUAGAUAACCUGUCUUCAUGUCUGGAAUAAUACGCCGAAAGGGGUACUAAUACCGGAUAUUCUUGCUUUUCAUAAGUUAUGCAAGCAAAGGUGGCCUCUGCAUAUGCUACUGCAUGAAGAGGGGUCUGCGUACCAUUAGCUAGUAGGUGGGGUAAUGGCCUACCUAGGCGACGAUGGUUAGCGGGUCUGAGAGGAUGAUCCGCCACACUGGCACUGGAACACGGGCCAGACUCCUACGGGAGGCAGCAGUGAGGAAUAUUGCGCAAUGGGGAAACCCUGACGCAGUGACGCCGCGUGAGUGAGGAAGGCCUUCGGGUCGUAAAGCUCUGUCAAGAGGAAAGAAGUGUACAAUGGCUAAUACCUGUUGUAUUUGACGGUACCUCUAAAGGAAGCACCGGCUAACUCCGUGCCAGCAGCCGC
rnacentral:rRNA from 1 species